GCAAGUGUAGUUUAAUGGCUAGAAUUUCUGGCUUCCAACCAGACGAUGCGGGUUCGAUUCCCGUCACUUGCU